UAAAGUUAUUCCUUUUUCCAAGCAUGGGC
rnacentral:piRNA from 1 species